rnacentral:ncRNA from 1 species
CCAAAGGCUCUUUUCAGAGCCACCUCUAAGCUCAAAAAGGAGUGUG